GCCGGUUUAGCUCAGUUGGUAGAGCACCUGAUUUGUAAUCAGGGGGUCGGAGGUUCAAGUCCUCUAGCCGGCACCA
rnacentral:tRNA from 1 species